CGCAACCCUUGUCCUUAGUUACCAGCACGUUAUGGUGGGCACUCUAAGGAGACUGCCGGUGACAAACCGGAGGAAGGUGGGGAUGACGUCAAGUCAUCAUGGCCCUUACGGCCUGGGCUACACACGUGCUACAAUGGCGGUACAAAGGGUUGCCAAGCCGCGAGGUGGAGCUAAUCCCAUAAAACCGAUCGUAGUCCGGAUCGCAGUCUGCAACUCGACUGCGUGAAGUCGGAAUCGCUAGUAAUCGUGAAUCAGAAUGUCACGGUGAAUACGUUCCCGGGCCUU
rnacentral:rRNA from 1 species